UACGUAGGGUGCAAGCGUUAAUCGGAAUUACUGGGCGUAAAGCGUGCGCAGGCGGUCUGUUAAGUCAGCUGUGAAAUCCCCGGGCUCAACCUGGGAAUGGCAGUUGAGACUGGCAGGCUGGAGUGUGUCAGAGGGGGGUAGAAUUCCCCGUGUAGCAGUGAAAUGCGUAGAGAUGUGGAGGAAUACCGAUGGCGAAGGCAGCCCCCUGGGAUAACACUGACGCUCAUGCACGAAAGCGUGGGGAGCAAACAGG
rnacentral:rRNA from 1 species